rnacentral:lncRNA from 13 species
AUGGGAAAAAGCAAUUCAAUUCUAAAUGAGCAAGCCUUCAACACAGAUGCAAGAUCAUACUUGCAGAAUUUCAGAUGGCAUGGAGGACUUGUCAACACCAAAUUUUCAUGGACUUACCCUUCCUAUGUCAAAGCUUCCUAUGCUAUACUGACACUCAAGGACUCAAGGAUGCAAGAGACCACUUUCGUUUUGAGAUGUGCAGUAGAACUGGGGGGAAAAGAGGGUGAAGUCAGACCCUGGCUCUUUCAAAGCACAAGCAUCUCUAUCUUGCUUUAUAUCUGGG